UACGUAGGUGACAAGCGUUGUCCGGAUUUACUGGGCGUAAAGAGCGCGCAGGCGGUCGUUCAAGUCGAGUGUGAAAGCCCCCGGCUCAACUGGGGAGGGUCAUUCGAUACUGAUCGACUCGAAGGCAGGAGAGGGAAGUGGAAUUCCUGGUGUAGCGGUGAAAUGCGCAGAUAUCAGGAGGAACACCAAUGGCGAAGGCAGCUCACUGGGACGGUACUGACGCUGAGACGCGAAAGCGUGGGGAGCAAACAGG
rnacentral:rRNA from 1 species